rnacentral:rRNA from 1 species
UACGAAGGGUGCUAGCGUUGUUCGGAAUGACUGGGCGUAAAGGGUGCGUAGGCGGCCUGAUGCGUCUGAUGUGAAAUCCCUGGGCUUAACCUAGGAACUGCAUUGGAUACGGUCAGGCUAGAGUCCGCGAGAGGAAGAUGGAAUUGUGCGUGUAGAGGUGAAAUUCGUAGAUAUGCACAAGAACACCGGUGGCGAAGGCGAUCUUCUGGAGCGGUACUGACGCUAAGGCACGAAAGUGUGGGGAGCAAACAGG